rnacentral:rRNA from 1 species
AUUGAACGCUGGCGGCAUGCCUUACACAUGCAAGUCGAACGGCAGUACGGGUGCUUGCACCUGGUGGCGAGUGGCGAACGGGUGAGUAAUAUAUCGGAACGUACCUUAUUGUGGGGGAUAACGCAGCGGAAGCUGUGCUAAUACCGCAUAAUCCCUAAGGGGGAAAGCGGGGGACCGUAAGGCCUCUCGCAAUUAGAGCGGCUGAUACCUGAUUAGCUAGUUGGUGAGGUAAAGGCUCACCAAGGCAACGAUCAGUAGCUGGUCUGAGAGGACGAUCAGCCACACUGGGGCUGAGACACGGCCCAGACUCCUACGGGAGGCAGCAGUGGGGAAUUUUGGACAAUGGGGGAAACCCUGAUCCAGCAAUGCCGCGGGAGUGAAGAAGGCCUUCGGGUUGUAAAGCUUUUUUGUCAGGGAAGAAACAGCAGCUCUAACACAGUUUGCGAAUGACGGUACCUGAAGAAUAAGCACCGGCUAACUACGUGCCAGCCGCCGCCGUAA